AACCUUUUAGUAUAAAAAGUAUAAUUAAUUUCCAAUUAAUAGGAAUUAAAGGUUU
rnacentral:tRNA from 1 species